ensembl:lncRNA
GGCUAUGUGUUGCGAGGUGGGAGAGGCGGGGCGAGGUGGGGUGAGGUGGGGUGAGGCGGGGCAAAACGAGGCGUGGCAGGUGAGGUGGGGCCAGGCAGGGUGAGACUAGGUGGGGUGGGGCGAGGCAGGGCAAGGUGGGGCAAGGCAGGGAGGGGUGAGGCGAGGCGGGGUGGUUCAAGGUGUGGCAGGGCAAGUAGGGGCGAGGCGUGGCAGGCGAGGCGGGGCAGGGCUAAGUGAGGCGAGGUAAUGCGGGGCGGGUUGAGACAGGGUGAGGUUGGGUGAGGCGGGUUCAGGCGAGGCGAGGCGUGGCAGGUGAGGCGGGGCGGGGUGGGGCGAAGGGAAGUGAGGCAGGGUGAGGCGAAACGAGGCUGGGCCUGGCAGGGUGAGGCGGGGCGAGGCUAGGCAGGGUGAGGCAGGGCGGGUCGAGGCGUGGUGGGGCGAGUGGGGGCAAGGCGGGGC